CUCCAAACAGCGCUGAAAUUCCUCUCAUCACCUCCGUCCCCGAACCUCCCUCUCGCCCCACCCCCAAACUCAGCCUUUCAGACACCCAGGGCUGUCCCUGCAGCUCGCCAUCCCCACACACAUCCCCUGAGCUCUCCUGCCUCACCGCUGUCCCCCAGGCACUGCGGGCAGGCGGCGGGAGGUUGGCUGUCCCGGCCCCGGGAGGUGGCUGUCCCGGCCCCGUUGGCUCCCAUUGGGUUUGGCGCUGCUCACCACCCCUGGAGGUCCCCACGGCCACGGAUGUGGCCCUGCUCAGCCCGGUCUGCCGGGGGUGUCCCUGUCCACAGUGAGGUGGGUGUAAAGAUCCCCCCCAGCCCGAGCCCUUCCGUAGUCCUGUGCCGAUGCUAUGGCUUCAGGCCGCUCCCAAAGCCCACGUUCGUUUCUGGACGGGACAGCAGCGGCAAUCGGUGCCCCCACCGGCGGCACAGAGCCGCUCCACCCCCCCACCCCUCGCAGUGCAGUCAGGCCGCAGCCGCUUCCUGGCGUUGCGCACAGCUCCUUGCCAACCCAACGUUAGGAAAGAGCUUCUGCUUUCAGUGCCGGGGAGCUCCGCUGCCGCCGCAGGGGUUCACCUCCCUCGGGUCCCUCUGCUCGGACGGCUCCGAUGGUGUUCAGGAGGGAGGAGAGCUCAUAGGGCAGCGUCCGUGGAUGGGAAAUGGAGCACCCGGAGGGGAAAGAGGCGGCGGGGCGAUACCUGAGAGCAAAGCUGAUGGAUGGCAGGAAACCUCCUCCCGCAGCGGGCGGCCGGGCACGGGGUCCCCCCGCAGCUUUCCCCGCGACGGAGCCGGGACGGGCGCCCACGCCGGGCUCCAAGGGCGAACCGCCCCCCGCGUCCCCCCUCGCCGGGAGGGCGGGCGUCAGCAGAACCCCUCCGCCGCGCAGCAAAGCUCACAGUGAGGAUCCCGGCCCCCGUCCGAUGCCCGUUCCUCAGAGCCCGGAGUGGAUGGCGCGGCUGAAGAAGGGCAUCGCUCCGAGCGCCGCCUCCCAUCCCCCCGCUGCCAAGCCGGGAGGACGGGACGCGGCGGACAACGAGGGGGUCGGAGCCACCUCCCAUCCCCCCCCGAGGAUCCCACCCCCGCAGAAAUGGCCGCUGCUCAAAGACACGGCCGCUCCGGCGCUCCCCGCCUCAGGCGCGGCCGCUGCGGGUGGGAUCCGGGGCUCGGGGCACCCCCCGCGCAGAAAGCCGCUGCCGCACGCCGCGGUGCUGGGAGCGAGGCCGGCAAAGCCCCGGCGGCCUCCGGGCGUGGACCUGGAGAAGUUCCAUAGAGCUGCACCCCCCAGNGGGGAUGGGUACAGCAUGGGGCUGAAUACGGUAUGGGAAUGUAUACGAGUUGGAGAUGAUGGGUACAGGGUGCAGAUGGGUACGGGUUGGGCUGGGUAUGGGAUGGGAAUGGGUACAGGAUGGGAAUGGGCACGGCGUGGGGCGCAGGCAGAGCUCUGGCUGAUGGGAUCACACACCAGCUUGGUGUCUUCCUCCGCCACAGCGCAGGGCUCGGUGCCCGUGGGUGUGCUGCUGUCCGUUUGGCUCAGCCCCGCUGUGCUCCACAGUGGCCUUCCAGAGCUGGGCACAUUUGCUGCUCUUUAACAGCUUUAAGCUUCUUUCAAAUCUUGCCUCUCCCUCAACUUCUCAAAGUUCUUCUCCACCAUCCCGCGAUGUUUCCCUGUUUAUUGCCCAGCUCACGCCAGGACUGUGGGGUGCUGUACAACCUCCUUUCCUUGGGAGAACCGCACAGCCCAGCUGCUUUCUGGUGCUUUCUACCGCUCUUUGGGUGUGCUGCUGGCUUUGUCCCCCACCCCCCUCUGCUCCAGCACCGCCCUGGGCGUUCCCGAGCCCCGAGCCGAGCUGCAGACUCCAAAGAACCUCUCGUUGCUCCCCCUCUCCCCCAGGUUACCCAACGCCGUUCCCACCGCGGGACGCUCCGAGCGCAGCGGGGUCAGUACUGAGGAGGCACUUUUAUUUUGGGGGUCUCUGACCGAGUGGGAAGAACAUGGGGAGGAAUGGUGGGAGGGUGGGUCGGGGCCCCCCGUGAUGCACCCCCGGCGGUGCAGACAUCGUCCUGGGCGGCUGCACGGCUCCCUGACGGCGCUCUGCUCCAUCCCAGUGGUGAGGAGGAGAUAUACGACGACGUUGAGAGUGUUGAGCCGCUCAGGAGAGACCGAAGCUUUCCGCCGCCCCCCACGUUCCGGCCUCCAGCGCAUCUCAAACCCAGAGGAGGUGGGGGCAGAGGGGGCGGGUGUGGGGCAGGGGGGGCCGGGGUGCCCUGAAGGAUGGAGGGCAGCCAGUGGGGCCGGUGACAUCAGCUUGGUCUCGGGGGCGCAGAUGGCACCUGAGGGGCGUGGGCACCCUGGGGGCCAUGGGAAGUGAUGCUCUCAGCCUCCAUCACCCCGUGUAGCCCUCUCCAUGCUUGGUUUUACAGGGGGAGCUGCUGCUCGGGCCCACAGCACGGUUGCACUGCUGGUUGCUGCACAAAGGUAAUGAGGGGGGUGAGUUCUUCCCGUGGGUCUGCUGAGACCCCCCAGUGCUUUGUUGUUCGGUGGUCUCCGCUGGAGCUGCGAUGAGAACCUGUCCACAGAGCCCCAGUGGUCCUGGGGGGGGAUGGGGAGGAUGGGGAACCUCUGGGUGCUGGGAGGAACCCGGGCAAGGGCAUCGGGGGGGCAGCGGGAGGGGGUGAGCAGAACCUUCCCACCACUCAUAACAUCUCUGCAGAGGAGCUCAGAGCUCCCAGAAGACGAAGCCAAUGACACUCAAAGAAUGCAAGAAGGAAGAGAAAGCGGACAGGGAGUUUCAGAAGAAAUUCAAGGUGAGCAGCAAGGAGCGCUCGCUUUUCCCUCUGAACUCCCCCUCGCUGCGCAGGGAGGACGCUGUGCGGAGGGGCUGUGUGCUCCAGGAGCAGGCGGUGCCCAGCAGGCCGCCCCCUUGAGGCUCCCCCAGGACAAACCGACCCCACAGCGCCGUGCUUCGGAGAAGUGUGCUGUCCCCAUAGAGGAAGCGGUUGGAGCUCAGCCAGCCUUCCUCUGCUUGUGUUUCAGUUCGAAGGGAACAUCACCGUCCUGACCCGGAUGAUGGUUGACCCUGCGACGACGGAGAAGAGGGGCGGGGGGAAGAACCUUCCGCUCAGACGGGGCGAGAUCCUCGACGUCAUUCAGUUCACCAAUAAGGAGCAGAUCCUUUGCAGGAACAGCCAGCGGAGGUGUAAGUCGGCCGCUGCCCCACGCUCAGCAUCGCUCCUGAGGGAUCCCAGCUCCAUUCCUGGGGCUGCUCCGCUCCCUCCCAGCCCCCCCGGGGGUGCACAGCCCCACACGCUUCUCCCCGCUCUGUUGCAGACGGUUAUGUGCCCCGGGCUGCAAUGCUGCACCUGUGAGUAUCCCUUCCCCAGCCCUUCCUCCCAGCAAUAACCCCCCCGGCCCAAACCCCCCCAGCCGUGGCAGUGACCGGUGGCCGCAGGGAGAUGUGCCCCUUCUGGGGACAACCUGGUGUCCCACCUCUGCGGAGGAGCUGCCCGGGGGGGACACAAGGGGCAGAGAUGGGGCAGAGCAGCAGCAGAGCUGCCCCAUCAUGGUGGGGGCUGUGGGGGCCUGAACCACUCAUAGCUUUUCCCCCACAGGGACACGGACAUCUACGACGAUGUUGAUCUCUAUGGUAGGUGUGAGUAAAGCACUGCUGGUCCCAAGCCCCAAGCAGAGCCCUCCAUGUCCUUUGAGACGCCCCAAACCCCCACAGUGCCCCUGCUGAGCGCUCUGCAGCCCAAACGGGAACGGCUGCAUGACUGCAGUGCUGAUGAGUGAACAUCUGUUCCCACCGACAGAGUGACCGACCCAAAGCCACGGGAGCACCACCAGACCCCGAAGGCCGAAGCUCCGAUGCCGGAGGGGCUGUGAGGGUCGGCCCCGCAGAGCAGAGGUUUGGGAGGGUCGUUCAGAUGGAGCCCCGCGGCGCUUUGUUUGAUCUGUGUGAAACGUGGCACUGAUUUGUGUGCUCCUAUCUGUGUUUUUUGGUUGUUUUUUUUGGUUGGUUUUGCCCCAGUGGAGCACUUCCACCCGUGUGGGUGCGGGGUGGGAUGGGGAGGCACUCAGUGCCUGAACGCCGCCUCCGGAUCUGGGAACAGAUCCUUCUGGGCCGGGAACUGAGCUGGGAACGGAGCUCCAUCCGCGCUCCUGAGAGGAGAUUCGAGACAGCCAGCACGGCUUCACCAAGGGCAGAUCGUGCCUGACCAAUCUGGUGCCUUCUAUGAUGGAGUGACGGCUUCAGUGGAUGGGGGGAGGGCGAUGGAUGUCAUCGGAUGUCAUCUACCUGGACUUCCGCAAGGCCUUNACUGAUGGGCAUCGUGGUCCUUUUCAACCCAGGCCAUUCUGUGAUUUGUGAUUCCUGGCGCAUGCGGCCCCACGGGGUGCGAGCAGCAGGGAAGGGUUAAACCCCACUGCGCUCACCCACAGAAAGCCAAGCCCAGAUUAACCGCUGCAGGACGUCACUUUCCAUUACGGGAAGGGCUCCCGAGGCAGCUCUCGGUCUG
rnacentral:lncRNA from 1 species